rnacentral:lncRNA from 1 species
GCCUACGGGUGGCCGGGCGGGAUGUAACCGGCUGCUGAGCUGGCAGUUCUGUGUCGCUAGGCUUCUGCCCGGCCGCCGCCGCACAUAAGCUGCGAGGAGGAGCUUUACGACUUCCCGGUCUUCGGGGCCGGGCGCAGCAAGGGCCAGACUCUGCGCUAGCAGGCGCUGCGCGCCAACCGGCCGGCACCUGUCGCAGAAGGUGCAACCGAUCGCACUGUCGCGCAGAAGCUCCUCAAUGGCCAGCGCCAGCUGCAGCCCCGGCCGCCCACUCGCCUCAUCUGAGCCUGGGUACGUGCGCCCCACAACGCCUCCCCCAGCCAGGGCCCGGGGAUCCCCGGGAGCGUCCCCGGCUACCUGGCGCCGCUCAUCCUGGGUAGGGUCGGCCCCCUCUGAGGCUGCCUGGCAUGAGGGAGCUGCACCCCUGAGCUUGACCUCUGACGGCCCUUUGUAAUAGCAUUAAGUCUUUGAAACUUUGUAGCGGGGUAGAAGGGGCUAGGAAAUGAAGAAAACAUCUUUUUAAAAAUAUAAGCAGUCGGCUGGGCGAGGUGGCCCACGCCUGUAAUCCCAGCACUUUGGGAGGUCGAGGCAGGUGGAUCACGAGGACAGGAGUUCAAAACCAGCCUGGCCAGCAUGGUUUCACUGAAACCCCGUCUCUACUAAAAACACAAAAAUUAGUCGGGCGUGGUGGCUGGUGCCUGUAAUCCCAGCUACCCGGGAGGCUGAGGCAGAGAAUUGUUUGAACCCGGGAUGCGGAGGUUGCAGUGAGCGGAGAUCGCGCCACUGCACUCCAGCCUGGGCAACAGACCAAGACUCCGUCUAAACAAACAAAUAUAUGUGUGUAUAUAUAUGCGAUCGAGCCCGGGAGGUUGAGAUUACAGUGAGCUGAGAUUAUAUAAGCGAUCGAGCACUGGAGGUUGAUGUUACAGUGAGCUGAGAUUGCGCCAUUGCACUCCAGCCUGUGUAACAGAGGGAGACUCUGUCUCUAAAAAAUUAUAUGCAAGUGAGAGCUUUUCUUCCAGCGCUCAUGCUCAGACUGAAGAAAGUAAUUGGGCCAGGCCCGGUGGCUCACGCCCGUAAUCCCAGCAUUUUGGGAGGCGGAGGCGGAAGCGGGUGGAUCACUUGAGCUCAGGAAUUCCAGACUAGUUUGGGCAACAUGGUGGAAGCCUGUCUCUACAAAAAUACAAAAAAUUAGCUGGGCAUGGUGGCACGCACUUGUAGUCUCCGCUACUUGCCGGGCUUAGGCGGGAGAAUCGCUCAGCUGCAGCCUCGACCUCCAGGGGCAAUCCAUUUCAGCCUCCCAAAGUGCUGAGAUUACAGGAAUGAGCCAUCGUGCCUGGCUUUACACUAUAUUUUAAUACUUUUUUUGAAAAUGGAAACUUUUACAGGCAAUUCACUUCCUUCAAACUAAUGAUAAGGAAGUGAUGCUGUUCUGUUCUGUUUUGUUUUUUGUUUUUGUGGGUUUUUUUUCUUUUUUGAGAUGGGGUCUUGCCCAGGUUGGAGUGAGUUGGUGCAAACAAGGCUCACUGCAGCCUUGACCUUCGGGCUCAAGGAAUCCUUCCCUGUCAGCCUCCCCGGUAGCUAGGACUACAGGUGCAUGCUACCACGCUUGGCUAAUUCUUUUUUUGAAAUGGAGUCUCACUCUGUCUCCCAGGCUGGAGUGCAGUGGUGCAAUCUCGGCUCACUGCAGGCUGGUCUCAACCUCUGACUUCGGCUGGUCCACCCACUUCUGCAUCCCAAAGUGCUGGGAUUACAAGUGUGACCCACCGCGCCUGGCGAUUUUGCUCAUUUUAGAUACUAGAACUUUUUAAUUUAAAUUUUUUUUUUCCUGAGAUGGAGUCUUACUUUGUCUCCAGGCUGGAGUGUAGUGGCGUAAUCUCGGCUCACUGCAACCUCCGCCUCCUGAGUUCAAGCGAUUCUCCUGCCUCAGCCUGCCAGAGUUGCUGGGACUACAGGUGCGCACCACCACACCCAGGAGUUCAAGGCUGCAGUGAGCCAUGAUCGUACCACUGCACUCCAGCCUGGGCAACACAGCGAGACCCUGACUCCACAAAUAAAUAAAUCAACAUCAUAUGAUCUGUACCAGGGUAUAGGCAGGUGCUAUGAUCCCCACUUUUCAUCCUCAACUCUAAGUUGAGUCAUACAUCAACCUCUAGUAAAAAGUGGCAUGCUCUCAGUCAAAGGGGUAAGCCCAAACCACGCGGAGAGAAUCUUAUCUCUUUUGAGAGCUAAUAUAAAAAGAAUUCCUCCUAGGCAUAAAAAUAUUGUGACACCAGUUACUUAGGCUAAACAUGCCUAUUAUGCUAAGUGAGUUAUUAACAAUAAAUACUUUAACUCUGUGCCAUGUUAAUUAUCAUAAUCUGAUUUAUAAUUUGUUUUAACCUUAGGUUAUAUAUACCUUGAAGCCAUUUAUAUUUUGGUAUACUUGUAAUAAUUACUAUACACCGGACUAUGUAUAUUGGACUAAACACGGAGAGUCAAAAAAGAGUAUGUGGUCAGAGUAGAAAUCAUGCCCUAGCUUCCUUCGUGUCUACCUCCUACCUUGAGUAGAAGUGGUAGAAAAAGUAAUUACCUAAGAUUUUUUGGAUUCUGGUUUGUGGAGAAGCACCCUUAUAUUUAGGCUGAUGGGCGGCAAAAUUAGAAAGUAUUUUUUGUGAUUUAGAAUUUUAUACGGAGAUGUUCAUUGUGAUUAAUUAUUCUUUGUAUUAGCAGAUUUUUGCUUUUUAUAGCUGCAUGAUUUCUUGUUUAUUAUUCAUUCAUUAUUGUCUAUUAAUAAAGAAAAACUUUAUUUCACUGAAGCAGUGAUAUAUAAUCCAACUUGGAUUUUUAAAUAAUGACUGACUUUUUUUCUUUGGGAAUACAUUACUGUUAAAAAUGUAAUUAUUAGAUACAUUACUUUUAAUGAAUAUAAGUGGUAUAAUUAGAAGGCUGAAAAGAAUCCUUGGAAAUGUGAGUUUAAUUUGAUAGCUAAGAAACUGAGGACAAGUUACUUAUUCUUUGUAGCAUAUUUUCUAAUGUCAUUUCAUUGUCUCACCAAGAAAUACUUGCAUAAAGCAAGUUCAAUUACAGCAUCUGUUGAAUAUUUAAGGUUGAGUAAAGUGGGUGAGUUUAACAGAUAUUUUCCCUUAUUUCUUUUAGGCGAAUCUGGAUUGGGAAAGUUGAUAUUAAUCAACUCAUUAUUCCUCACAGAUUUGUAUUCUCCAGAGUAUCCAGGUCCUUCUCAGAGAAUUAAAAAGCCUGUACAGGUCUACAUAUUGGUAUUUUUAAUUGAUGAUAAGCUGGAAUAAUAUUAAUACACACAAAGCACGUGUUGUAACUUUCAUUAUGCUUCCCUAGAGGUAAGAUGCAAAUUUGCCCUUAGCCAGUGUAAGAUGGUAAAUAUGACUUCAUAAAAUCAAAAAAACAGAGGAAGUACAGUUAAUCGAAAGAAUUAUCUUGACUAGAACUUUCCAAAUUUGUCCUAAGGAUUCUCCUAGAGAUGACACUGUGACAUAGUAACCAAUUCCCCUGGAGUUGUGCUAUGUAGUAUGAUAGUCAUUUGCCACAUGUUUAAAUCAAUUAAAAUUAAUUAAAUUAAAAUGCAAUUUCUCAUUUGCUCCAGAUACAUUUCAAGUGCUCAACAGCCACAUGUGGCAAGUGGCUGCCAUUUUGUGCAGCACAUAUAUGAAGAUUUUCAUCAUUGUAGAAAAUUGCAUUGGACAGUGUAGAGAAAACAUGAUUCAUAGAAAAACUAUUGUUAUUUAAAUAGUGUUCUAUAUUAGUCAGUGGGAUAAUACCAUAUCAUAGUUGAAUGGCAAUAGCAAUUCUGUAAAACUCCCAUGCUAUAUGUGAUCUAAUUUACUGCUUCUCAGUCUUUGCUACGCAUUCCAAUCCUGGGUAUCCUGUUAAAUUUAUUUCUUCUAGUAGUUCUGAGAUGGGCUGCCUUUCUACAUUUCUAACAAGAUCCCAGGUGAUGCUGAUGCCGCUGGAUGGUAGAUCACACUUUAUAAAGCAAGGGGCUAGACUCUAGAUAUGCACUUUUUAUUAAAUAGUACAGCAGCCUGUAGCCACAUGUGGCUAUUAAUCUUUGAAAUGUGGGUAGUCUGAAUUGUGAUGUUCUGCAAAUAUAAAAUAUGCCACAGAUUUCUAAGACUGAGCAUGGAAAAGAAAAUCUCCGUAAUUUUUUAUAUUGAUUGUAUACUGCAGUGAUAAUAUUUUGGAUGUAUCGGGUUAAAUAAAAUUGACUGAUUUCACCUUUUUCCUAUUUUAAAAGUGGCUACUAAGAAAAUUUUAAAUUACUUACAUGACCGACAUGGUAUUUUUAUUUGGCAGCGCUGCUCUAAGCUGUUGAUGAAAAAUAUUGUUGGUGAGCUCUGCUUAGGUAAUAUGUAGGACACGAGCAGAGAGGAGGCACGUGAACAGUUCUGGCUGAAGUAGGCUUCAUUGAGGCCGUGAUGCUUUUAGCUGGAUUUGAAGAAGUGGUAGUGAGCAUCCCAGUGCACAGGAUAGGAGGACAGUCUAUAUAUUCUGAGCAGUAACUCAUAUAUAUCAUACUGCAAGACCCCAAAGGAGUAAUUUUUUGAAGUAAAUAUCUUAUUUCUCCUUUUUAAUGUUUCUAUUUUGGGAAUUUUUUUUUUUUUAGUAACCUUCAUAGGGCUUGAGAUUUAAAAUUACCUGCAAAAUUCUACUCUAAAAACUUGAUCCUACAUGCUUAUUUAUUUUGUGAUAAAUAUUGGAAAUUUUAAACCUAAGCAAGAAAAUGAACUUUGAACUUUCUUAAUUUGGGUAUCUAUUAUGAAUACCUUCACUUAAGUAUUUAUGAAUUUAGAUAUGAAAGGUAAAACUAACCACUAUCCAAAUUAAUAUACAGUUCAUUUCCAGAACCCUAGUUUCUUCCAUGUGCUCACUCGCAUUCAGUAUUACAACCCCCAAAGAUAAACACCUUACUGACUGCCUUCUCCAUAAAUUUGCCUGUUCUUGAACGUUAUAUACGUAUACUUUUUUGUAUCUGUUUUCUUUCAGUGAAGAUUAUGUCUGUAUUAUUUACUCAUGUUGGGUGUAGUUGUUUUUUUCAUCGUCGUAUAAUACUCCAUUGUGUGAAUGUAUAAAGUAUAUCCUUUAUUAUUUAUUGUAGAUAAGCCUUUGGGUUUUCAGUUUUUUACUAACGGGAACAUUCUUGUGCAUGUCUUAGUAGACUUAGGCACUCAUUGCUGUUGUGUGUGCAUAAAGAUAUAAAGGUAUUUGAGUUUAUUUUAUUUGAUUUCUAGUGAGGUUGAACAUGUCUUGUACUCAAUAACUGUUCAGAUUUCAUUAAAGUCUUUUGGUAAUCUUAAUAUUUUCUGUCAUUUUCUUGCUGAUUUAUAGGAGUUUGAAAAAUCUAAUAAUCCCCUACAUUUUAGAUAUUGCAGACAUUUUCUCCCCAGGUGAGCAUCUGUUAAAGAUGUGACAUGCCCUCAAUUUAUUUUAGAAUUCUUACAUUGGCUUAGCUUCAAAAUAAAUUGCCUAAACCCAUUUUACCUUCCUUUAAAGUAACACUUCAAAAAUAUCCUCUUCUGUUGUGAAUAUCUUCCCGGAAACUCUCUUUAUCUUGAAAACAAAGGGGUAAUGGAGGUACUAGAGAAUAUCUCUAGUAGGAUUUUUAAGACAGGCCUGUGCACCACUGUUAAAUAUCUUUUCUGUACCAAAAAGAAGACCUGUAACAUUUGAGAACCAGAUUGAUCCUUAGUAGAAUCCUGUAGAAGUCCUCUUUCCUGAUUGAACCAUAGAGGUGUAUUCCUUUAUAUACUGAAAACUAGCUGAAGAUAAUCUAAACUCUUGUGCCCAGUUAGGAAAGAACAUGCCAUAUUAUGGACAGGGUCAGAGUCAUUCAAGAAGCCUGAAUAUAGUUAGAAAAUGAGAAUGUAAUCUUUUUAAUAGUUGGCUGGCUCUUUACCAAGCCCAGUAGUCUUGAAGAUAUAGGGGAAAUAGUGUAAACGGUUGUCAAGAUGAAUCUAAAAUGGAAAUUAAUCAGUUCCCUAGAAUAGAUUGAGAAAUUAGCUUUAGGAAAAAGAUAAAUUUCACACACACUGUACCAUGGAAGGUACAGUGCUGAUUCAGACAGACUGGGAAUGGUCUCAUUUUUAAGUGGUGAUGUGAGGUACUUCACUGAGCAUUGUGACAGGCACGGGCUUGGGAAGAGCCUAUUAGGAAAUGGGAGAGGCAUGAGACUAAGGAGCACAUAAGAGUAAUAUUAGCAGAGAAAUUCUUUUUGAGGUUGAAGGUCAUGAAUUUUAUGGUAUAGGAAUAGAAAGAGGGGUUAAUCCAGAAUGGGAUUUGAGUUGGAAAGGGAAAGAAAUAAAGGUUUUGGGAAGGAGGUUGCUAAUAGAAAAUGAGAGGGGCAAGGGAUUUGAGGUCUCAGUAAGGAGACAGGGAUAUGAGGAGUGGAGAGGUUCAGAAUAGAAAGCCAAAUUAGAGUUUUGGGAUCAACUUUCUUCUCAGUAAAGUAGUCCUGGGUCUUCGUGAGAAGGAAGUAUUCUUCAGGCAUAACUGUUCUACUAUUGGUUACUUCCUCUUUCAUUGUCUUGUGGAACACGAUGAAACAUUUAAGAUGAUAUUCAUCUUUUGAGCCAAUAAAUAAGGGAAAUAGAUAGUUUUUGUGUUUGAGCUAAGUGGAGUAUCUCAGGCCAUUCCAAUGUCUUCAGAGUUUUGGCUGUAAUGCUACCUCUUGAGCAAGUGUAGGUAGAGGUAAGCUCUUGACAGAAAAUUUUAACCCUCUCUUCAAAAUGUUAUAUGCUUAAUUAAAUAACUUCUUAAUUUACCUUAAUAAAUGGCGUAUAAACAUUAAGUUAGAAAAGGUUAGUGUAUAUGAAGCUGUAUAAUCAACAUUGUUUGACUUUUUUUCCUCAGAUUGUAAAACUGAAAACUCAGUAUACUAAUACUCUUGUAUACUGUAUACACUCAGUAUUAGAAAAUGAGUACCUUUGAUUUCUGGAAUCUCGGAUGCCAAAAGAGGUCUCAAUAGAUGAAUUAUACAUAGAUGAUUCAUAGACGAUAGUUUUAGUUUUAUUUAUUUUUCAGGGAAAAACAUUUGACAAUGUUCUUGAUUCAUUUUUUUGGUAUUAAAUUAUGCAGCUAAUCUUAGAGAACCCUGAGUGAUGCCAUAAAAGAUGUUGAUGUGGCCUGCUUAAGGAAAGUGCACGGGAAAGUGGCCAUUUGGAAUAGAUUUGUUAAGAAAAGUUUGAAAUUCUUGGACUCGAACUAAUUUGUUUUCCAUGGAUCCCAUGAGGAUACUUGUAAAAGCAGAUGAUAGGGUCCAGUUGGAUCCUGUGAAUGGCACUAGUUUGCAGUUAUGUUUUCUGGAUCUCUUCCAUAUGUCGCUGACUUCUUUGUAUUUGACCAUGUAUGGACAUACAGAAUUUCAUAGGCCAGAGAAGAAAAGAAGCUUUAUAAACAUUCCUUAUGUGUGUAAAAUACAAAUCUUCAUUUGUCUUAGCAAGUCAAUAAGUAAUUAAGUUGUUGAACUGAUUUUUUUUUUAAACAGGGAAAUAUCUUAAAAUUUAAGCUGUUAGGUUAAAAUGUGUGUUUGGUAUACAGCAUAUUACUGAAGGUAGAAUGGGCUUCAUUUGGUAAUAAAGGAACCAGAAAUAUUUUUAAGUAAAAUUGGGAGAUGAUUCAUGUAGAUUAACUAUAUUUUUGUAUCACUUUCUAGAAUACAGUACUAUGUUGUUUAAAAGAGUAAGUAGGUAAAGGAGUGGUAUAAUUACUUUGGAUAUUUCUGCGUCAGCCACAGUUACCAUGAAUAAAUGAUCUGUCUUUAUAAAGGAGAUGGAAGUGAAUUCAAGAUAUUGAGAUGUUAGAUUUGACUGGGUUGUCCUUUGACUAGAAGAUCACCAGAUAAAGAAAAUGUAAACUUCCUAAACCAGAUAAGAUGAUAUUGUUAAAAAAUUUUUUUGGCCCAGCACUUUGGGAGGCUGAAAUGGGAAGAUUGCUUGAACCCAGGAGUUUGAAGCUGCAGUAAGCUAUGAUCUACCAUGCACUCCAGCCUGGGCAACAGAGUGAGACCCUGACUAAAAAAAAAAAUUUUUUUUCCUUUGGUUCUCAUGAUUUCACACUGAUGAAUCUGAUUGUUUUCUCUGAGUCAUUUUGCCUCUCUCAUGUUAUUAGGGUAACCUGAUAAUAGACAUGUUAUCUGAGUUAUGUGGUAUGUAACAGUGAUCUUCUAAAUGAUGUGCAUCCAUCACUGAUACUGAGGAUGAUCAGAAACUAUUACAACUCUUAUUUAUUGAUCUUUACUUUUAAUCUACAGAUAAAUGAUAAUACAUAUUAAUACUUAAUAUUCAGAUUGCCAAUAGUAUAUAUUUGGUGGGUAAAUAUCUUUUGGAUCUGCAAAAUUUUCACUGAUAGUUUGUAUCAGGAUCAAAGCAGUUUGAAGAACAUUAAUCUAAAAGAUAAGACUUUGGCAUCUCAUUUCUCUAAAAGAUAAGUCAUGCAUGUACACACUCAGGCAAUUUUUUUCAGUUUUAUAAGUUUUAUUCUUGAUAAUAAAAUUCUUUUAACAGAAAACUCUUGAUUGCUAUAGACCUCUGCUGUGUAUUCAGUAGUCACUAGCCACAUGUGGCUAUUUAAGUUAAUUCAAAUUAAAUAAAAUUAAAUAUCAGUUCCUUAUUUGCACUAGUCAGAUUUUAAGGAGUAAGUAGCCACAUGGGCAAGUGGCUACCAUAUUGGACAGUGUGGAUACACAACAAUUCCAUCAUCUCAGAAAGUGUUAUUGGAUAGUGUGGCUACAGACUUUUCUUGCUCAGCAAUCUUAGUCUCCGCAUGUUAGUCUCUUCAUGCAUUAGGUAGCAUCUAUAAAACAUGCCAAAAGGAAAUAGGCUAUCUCUAAAAGUGUCCCAAACUUUUUGUCUUGUAAAUUAGCUUAUCAGCAUACUUGGAGCCUCUUGCCUUAAAAAGGACUUGAUAUAAAUGUGUAUCAGGAGAAAGCCUAUCUUAUGAAGGAAUUAUUCCCUUUUUAUUUGAAUCCAUGUUUGCUUUAUCUUCGGCUCCUGAAAACUGAUACUUUGCAUUUAACAGCAGCAUAUGCCCAGGAUGAAUGAUAAUACAUCUCCUGAUACAGAGCUUGAGGUUACAGAAUAUCUUAAAUUGUUCCAGGAACUGUUGUUAUCAUUUAAGUCCAAUAAUCAGUAAGAUUUCACCCUACCAGAAUACACUUUUUUUUAUUAACUGUCUGGACCUUUGCUGAUUACAUUGUCCGGAAUGUGGAGUAUCGCAUUUGAGAAGAGGAUUGGAUCCUAGCCAUAACAUAAAUAUAAGGGUAAUUACAUCCAUGCUGAGAAAGAUUUAGGAAUGAUAGUAAGUUCAUUUGAGUGAGUGGUUUGGGCCAAACUUGAUAGAGAAUAGUCCAGGAAGACAUUUACUAUAAACAGUAGAUUAAAUGUUCUUGCCUGGUUAAUUACAUUUGAACUCUGUUAAUGACUGAAUCACUCAAACUGCUUAAUUGUAUUAUUAGAUGCACAUUUAAGUUAUGUAUUACAUGUCUUUAGUGGUGAUCAGAAUUUUAUCAGUUCCUCUGUCUUUCUUUAUACCAAGUAUGACUCAUAAACCCAGUAUUAAUUUGCCAAGAGAUUGGCAUACUAUUUGUAUAUAUGCUUUUCUUUCAAAUAAUCUGGAUUCCCAAUGCCCACAAUCAUUGAUCCUAAAGAAAAUGUGAGAGUAGGUAGAUAAACUCAAACAUCCCUACCAUCACCCCUGGUAGGAAAUCACUGGUGUAAUGUAUGAUAUUAACAUCUGCACCAAUUACUCUUAUAGGUGGAACAAUCCAAAGUUUUAAUCAGAGAAGGUGGUGUUCAGUUGCUGCUUACAAUAGUUGAUACCCCAGUAUUUGGAGAUGCAGUGGAUAACAGUAAUUGGUAAAAAGGAUUUGUCCUCACAACUUUCCAGUGUAUUUGGGGUACUGGGGUGGUUAAACUUUCUCUUCUUAACAUUUUAAAACUCUUCUUAGCAAAGGUCACCAAACUUCAAGUAACAUGACAGGUUUGUAUACCAACUUUGCCACUUAUUUGACAAAGUUUAACUUCAAAGUUAAACAAAGAAGUUUAACUUCUUUGAACCCAUUUACUUUUUGAUAAAAUGGAGAUAAUACCUAUCAUAAAAUUGUUUUGAAGACAUAUUCCAAAAUAACGUAGCUAGAUAGAAGAAUUCUCAUUAUUGGAAGAAAUUUAAAAUGCUUUGCUUUAAUUUUAUCCAUUUGUAUAAAUUCUAUCACAAUCCUAAUUUAAACCUGAUAUUUAGACCUUCAGUUUUUCCAUAAGUCCUAAGUGAAGAAAACAACUAUGAAAUUUUAGUCUGAAGUAAUUAUCUUAGUAUUUUAUAAAUAACUUUAAUUUUGUUUGAAUUCACAUUGUUUUUGAGGUAUUUUUCUGUCAACUCUUAAAACUCCUAAGUUCAUCAUGAAGUUUUUAUAUUAUUUAAGUAAUCUCUCAUUUGAAAUUUGAAACUGAAUAUAAUCGUUUUCAUAUUAUGAAGUGUGUUAUUAAUACACUUACUAGUGCCAAUAGUAUGCUAAUAAUUUAGCUGUGUUUCAACAAUAAAUAUUUUCUUUCAUUUGGAAAGUUUUGAAAUAAUGAAUAAAGAUUUAUUCAACACAAUUUAUAUUUUUGAAUCUUUAUAUAGAAUAACUUGACAUAUCUUCCAUUGGUUAAUUCAUUUUGCCUAUUUGAAAAUAUUGAUUAUUGUCCUUUAACAGUCAUCAGUUAAUUCAUAUGUAGAAUUGCAACUUAAUUGUUUUGUUUAUUUGCAUUCUAUAGCUGGCAGCCUGCUAUCAAUUACAUUGAUAGUAAAUUUGAGGACUACCUAAAUGCAGAAUCGCAAGUGAACAGAUGUCAGAUGCCUGGUAACAGGGUGCAGUGUUGUUUAUACUUCAUUGCUCCUUCAGGACAUGGGUCAGUAACCUGAUACUUCUGAUUCCUUUUUGUUGUUGUUGCUUACUGUUACCUUUAUGUGCAUAUUUGAGUAAUCUUUAAGUUUGUGAAGUACAUACAACUAUACCCAUUAUUAAGUACCAAAUUUCAUGUAGAAAUGUCUUAGUUGAAAAGCCUUUUUAAGUCCUGUGCAAGCUAACAGUGAUUUUACUCCUUAGUUCUUAUUCAUAAGGAUUUUCCCUGCUUCAUGGAAAUAAACAGUGUUGCCACCAUGGUUUGAGGUCUCAAUGUGGCAAAUUUAGCUUUCAUGUUGAACUACCAAAUAAAGAGAAGCAGCCAAACCAGUUAGACAUAUUCAAAAUAAAUCCAGAGAUGCUAUUUAUUAUAAGUCUCAUAAGAGAUGGUUAUCAAAAGCACUUGCAUGCCAAUGUUUUCUUGUGCCAUUUCUUAAUGCAAAAAAUCUGUUUGGCUUCUGUUUCACCUUAGCUGUCAUAGACAUGUUUAAGUAUCAUGUUGUCAGUACUAACCUUUUGUUUAUUAGGACAUAAGACCUAAGAAUCUAGACAUUAAUCUGAUGCGAUUGUUCUGUUUGUUAUAGUUAGCCUGUACUCCCUUUUUUUGUUCUUUGUACUUCCCCUUUCAUUUUGAGUACAUAUAUGUGUCAUUUGUAACUGCAGAUUUUUCCAAUUAUUCUUCCUCAGUCUUUUCCUUUGGGUAAGUAACUCAGCAUACAUAAUUCAGCCACCUGGUGACUGUAACUCCACCAUCUCUCCACCAAAAGAACUGUAGUAGCAUCAAGCUACAUAGCAUUAAGUUAUCUAACACUCACAUUACAGUAGAGUAAACCAAUUCCUUCAGGUAUAUCUUUCUCUUCCAUUUUUGGCUUCUCGCUCUCUUUUUUUUGUUUGUUUUUAUAGAUGGGUCAAUGCCCAUUAUCACUCUAGAUGGAUAAGGGAGCCUUAAUUAUAUACUUAUAUUUUUGCACUGUCAGAUUGGAGUGGGGUAAAAAUGUUUCUUCUUUUAUGUGUAAUACUCUUGUUUUUUUUUUGGUUUUUUUUUUUGCUGUGCCCUAGACCAUUACAUAACUGAAGACUCCCACCUUCAGGCAGGUUUGGGUAGUACACGUUUGUAACUACCUGGCAUUGCCUUUUGUUGAAGUAAUUUCAGUUUUUAUUAGUAGUAGUAGUAGUAUACUUUAAGUUCUACAGUAUAUGUUCACAAUGUGCAGGUUUGUUACAUAUGUAUACAUGUGCCAUGUUUGUUUGCUGCACCCAUUAACUGGUCAUUUACAUUAGGUAUUUCUCCUAAUACUAUCCCUCCCCCAUCCUCCAUGCCACGACAGGCCCUAGUGUAUGAUAUUUCCCGCCCUGUGUCCAAGUGUUCUCAUUGUUCAAUUCCUACCUAUGAGUGAGAAAUACCUAUGCGGUGUUUGGGUUUCUGUCCUUGUGAUAGUUUGCUCAGAAUGAUGGUUAACAGCUUCAUCCAUGUCCCUGCAAAGGACAUGAACUCAUCCUUUUUUAUGGCUGCAUAGUAUUCCACAGUGUAUAUGUGCCACAUUUUCUUAAUCCAGUCUAUCAUUUUAUGGUGUUCUCAGUUUAUAUAUUUAAAUCACUAAACUGACUCUUUGACUUAAAAGGCUCAAAAAAAGUCAUCUCAAAAAUACAACACACUUUAUAACCUUUUAUAAGUAUUUGUGUAGCUUCUUGAAUUUAUAUUUUUAAAUCAUUCUCAUUUAACUUGUCAGGGCCUUUUCCUGAAAGCCAGGAGAGUGAAAUCUUAACCUGCAGUUAAGUCAAUAAAAUUUGUCAGCUUAUAACCAAUUUUAUUAUUUUAGAUUUUCUGGACUCUCUCCAACUACAGUAAUUCUCAUGAAAUCACAUUCCUGCCAUCCCCUUGGGGAAAAUUUUAUUUCUUAAAAUUGCAUGGGAAAUGAGAGCUUUUUUAAAAGAAAAAAAGUUUUAUAUUCAAAUGAUAUGUAGUGGCUUUGUGCCAUUUCUUAUUCAUCACAAGGGGUAAGAUGUUUAAAAUUGCUAUAUCUUAUAUAUAAAAAUGUACCUUUGAAUAAUUUCUCAGUUUAACUAUUUUUAGAAAUGGAGCAAAGUUUUGCCCAUUGGUACAUGAUAUUGUGGAUUAAGUGAAAGAAUAUGAGGCUGGGUGCGGUGGCUCACGCCUGUAAUCCCAGCACUUUGAGAGGCUGAGGCAGGUGGAUCACCUGAGGUCGAGAGUUCGAGACCAGCCUGACCAACAUGGAGCAACCCCGUGUCUACUAAAAAUACAAAAUUAGCUGGCCGUGGUGGCGCAUGCCUGUAAUCCCAGCGACUAGGGAGGCUGAGUCAGGACAGUUGCUUGAACCUGGGAGAUGGAGUUUGCGGUGAACCGAGAUCACACCAUUGCACUCCAGCCUGGGCAAUGAGAGUGAAACUCCAUCUCAAAAAAAAAAAAAAAGAAUAUGACACAGAAUUUUAUGUAUAGAGUUCCAGGUACCCUGCUCACUACAGACUGAAAUUCUGUGCAGUCUAAUAAAUGAAUCAGAGCCUUUCCAUCUUGUCUGGGUAGUCCCUAGGUUCCCUUUUUAGAGGGUUUUGUUUUUAGAGUGAUUAUAAAUUCAUCCAACAGUGCACUUUCAGUGCCUCCUACCUCCCUCUACCAAGUAUGAACUGCAUGCAUGGCUGAUAUAUGAUUUUGGCUAUUAUCGCUUCAUGUGCAUUGUUCACUAUUUUGUAACUGUUAUUAAAGUAAAAUACUGACUUGGAACAUGAAUUUUAAAAUGGUGUUUUAUCCUUCUAGUAUUGAUUCCCACUUUUAGAAAAAUUGGUGUCAUUCAGUGAGUUUUAUAUAGAAGGAUUUUUUCCCUUAGAAAUACAUACAUACAUACAUACAAAAAAAAUUUGUUAUUUUCCCUGUAGUUGUUUAUUAUGCUGUAGAAUUUGAGGCUAAAUAGUCUUUUCUCUCUGCUGUGGGUUUAUCUUCUAGAAAUGAUAAAGGAUUUUCUAUUGCUUAAAAACAAGAUUUAAAAACUAAAUUUGUUGACGAAAAGACUAGCCAAUAUAAAUCUAAAUGGACAGAGGGAAAAAAUUCAACCAGAAUGUAAUACACAUGUGAACUAAAUGUUUUCUGUUGCUGACGUUUUGUAGGCUUCUGAAAUUUAAUGAGACUUUUACAAGGUUUACCUUUUUUCCUAGAGUUUAAUUUUUAAACUGACUUAAAUGUUUUUUGACACUUUGGUUAUAUUUAAGAAGUUGACUUCUCUAAUUUCCUUGUCAUGUUUAUUUUUAAAUAUCUUUCUCUUUAAAAGUUGGG